CUACGGGCUGCACCAGUGAGGAAUAUUGCACAAUGGGGGGAACCCUGAUGCAGCAACGCCGCGUGGAAGAUGACGCAUUUCGGUGUGUAAACUCCUUUUAUAUGUCAAGAAAAUGACGGUAGCAUAUGAAUAAGCACCGGCUAACUCCGUGCCAGCAGCCGCGGUAAUACGGAGGGUGCAAGCGUUACUCGGAAUCACUGGGCGUAAAGGACGCGUAGGCGGGUUGGAAAGUCAGGUGUGAAAUCCUACAGCUUAACUGUAGAACUGCACUUGAAACUUCUAAUCUAGAGUAUGGGAGGGGGAGAUGGAAUUAGUGGUGUAGGGGUAAAAUCCGUAGAUAUCACUAGGAAUACCUAAAGCGAAGGCGAUCUCCUGGAACAUUACUGACGCUAAGGCGUGAAAGCGUGGGGAGCAAACAGGAUUAGAUACCCCUGUAGUC
rnacentral:rRNA from 1 species